CAGAUUCAGAGGAAUUUCUCUGCACGGGAGGAAAAAAAAAAGGGAGUGGUUAUAGGAGGUUUAAAAUCUCCGAACAAAUUAGUGAAGUCCGGAUGCUUCCUCCGUAAUUUGGGUUUACGAGUGUCGACAGAAUGUCGCCAUCGCGAUGGUGGCUCUCGUUGGUCAAGUCAAUCGCCUGGCUGGGCCCGUCGAGCGCCGCACGCCAUCGCGAUGGUGGCUCACGCACGUCAAGUCAAUCGUGGCAGGACU
rnacentral:lncRNA from 1 species